CGGCAAUGGGGGAAACCCUGACCGAGCAACGCCGCGUGAAUGAUGAAGGUCUUCGGAUUGUAAAAUUCUGUGGUAAGAGAAGAAAGAUAUAAAGAGGAAAUGCUUUGUAUUUGACGGUAUCUUGCUAGAAAGCCACGGCUAACUACGUGCCAGCAGCCGCGGUAAUACGUAGGUGGCAAGCGUUAUCCGGAAUUACUGGGCGUAAAGAGUGAGCAGGCGGUUAGAUAAGUCUAUGGUUAAAUGCAACAGCUCAACUAUUGUUCGCUAUAGAAACUAUUUAACUAGAGUGCGGGAGAGGUAAGUGGAACUCCAUAUGUAGCGGUGGAAUGCUUAGAUAUAUGGAAGAACACCAGAGGCGAAGGCGGCUUACCAGUCCGUAACUGACGCUCAGUCACGAAAGCGUGGGGAGCAAAUAGGAUUAGAUAUCCUAGUAGUCCACGCCGUAAACGAUGAGAACCUGAUGCAGGAGAUAUUCUGUGUCGAAGCUAACGCGUUAAGUUCUCCGCCUGGGUACUACGUUCGCAAGAAUAAAACUUAAAGGAAUUGACGGGCGCCCGCACAAGCAGUGGAGCAUGGGGUUUAAUUCGUCGAUACACGAAAAACCUUACCAGGGCUUGACAUCCCGCUAAAAGCCUUAGAAAUAAGGAAAUAGUUAUAGCGGUGACAGGUGGUGCAUGGUUGUCGUCAGCUCGUGCCGUGAGGUGUUAGGUUAAGUCCUCAAACGAGCGCAACCCUUGUCUUUAGUUGCCAUUAUUAAUUUAGGAACUCUAGAGAGACUGCCGGCGCAAGCCGGAGGAAGGCGGGGAUGACGUCAAAUCAUCAUGCCCUUUAUGCCCUGGGCCACACCCGUGCUACAAUGGUCGGUACAAAGAGAAGCAACACUGUGAGGUGAAGCAAAUCCCAUAAAGCCGAUCUCAAUUCGGAUUGAAGUCUGCAACUCGACUUCAUGAAGCUGGAAUUGCUAGUAAUCGCAGAUCAGCAACGCUGCGGUGAAUACGUUCUCGGGCGUUGUACACACUGCCCGUCACACCAUGAGAGCCGGUAAUACUCGAAGUCGUUAGCCUAACCGUAAGGAGGGCGGCGCCUAAGGUAGGACUGGUGAUUGGGGUUAAGUCGUAACAAGGUAUCCCUACGAGAACGUGGGGAUG
rnacentral:rRNA from 1 species